rnacentral:rRNA from 1 species
CACGCCGUAAACGAUGAGUGCUAGGUGUUAGGGGGUUUCCGCCCCUUAGUGCUGAAGUUAACGCAUUAAGCACUCCGCCUGGGGAGUACGGCCGCAAGGCUGAAACUCAAAAGAAUUGACGGGGGCCCGCACAAGCGGUGGAGCAUGUGGUUUAAUUCGAAGCAACGCGAAGAACCUUACCAGGUCUUGACAUCCUCUGACACCCCUAGAGAUAGGGCUUUCCCUUCGGGGACAGAGUGACAGGUGG